GAUGAACGCUGGCGGCGUGCCUAAUACAUGCAAGUCGAGCGAACAGACGAGGAGGUUGCUCCUCUGACGUUAGCGGCGGACGUGUGACUAACACGUGGAUAACCUACCUAUAAGACUGGGAUAACUUCGUGAAACCGGAGCUAAUACCGGAUAAUAUAUUGAACCGCAUGGUUCAAUAGUGAAAGACGGUUUUGCUGUCACUUAUAGAUGGAUCCGCGCCGCAUUAGCUAGUUGGUAAGGUAACGGCUUACCAAGGCAACGAUGCGUAGCCGACCUGAGAGGGUGAUCGGCCACACUGGAACUGAGACACGGUCCAGACUCCUACGGGAGGCAGCAGUAGGGAAUCUUCCGCAAUGGGCGAAAGCCUGACGGAGCAACGCCGCGUGAGUGAUGAAGGUCUUCGGAUCGUAAACCUCUGUUAUAAGGAAAGAACAAAUGUGUAAGUAAAUAUGCACGUCUUGACGGUACCUUAUCAGAAAGCAACGGCUAACUACGUG
rnacentral:rRNA from 1 species